UACGUAGGGGGCUAGCGUUGUCCGGAAUCAUUGGGCGUAAAGAGCGUGUAGGCGGCCCGGUAAGUCCGCUGUAAAAGUCGGGGGCUCAACCCUCGAAAGCCGGUGGAUACUGUCGGGCUAGAGUACGGAAGAGGCGAGUGGAAUUCCUGGUGUAGCGGUGAAAUUCGUAGAUAUUCGGAAGAACACCAGUGGCGAAGGCGACUUACUGGACACAUAUUGACGCUGAGGUGCGAAAGCGUGGGGAGCAAACAGG
rnacentral:rRNA from 1 species